AUGAUCAAGCCAGCAGAUUGCCCGGCUGGAUACUACUGUCUCUCAGGAACUAAAGCUGCCAAGCAGUACCCAUGCCCCCAGGGCACCUUCAGUAACCAGACUGGGCUGAGCAAUUCUAAGGACUGCAGGGCUUGCCCUGGGGGAAAAUUCUGUGCAGAUGCAGGCCUCUUGACCCCGAGUGGCCCUUGUUUGCCCAGGUAUUACUGCAUUUUGAAGGCACAUGUACCUAAUCCUGUUAACGAUGAAACUGGAGACUUGUGCCCAGCAGGACACUUCUGCCCACUGGGUAGCAGCAGCCCAGUGCCAUGUCCCACUGGCACCUUUCUACCCCAGUCUGGGAUGGCAUCCCACAAUGCUUGUCUGCCCUGCCCUGGGGGGAAGUUCUGCCAAGGAGAAGGGUUGGCCAGCAUUUCAGGAACCUGUCAUGCUGGGUAUUACUGUGAUAUGGAAUCCACACGGCCAGACCAGAAACGCUGUCCAGCUGGAUCCUACUGCCCCAAAGGCACAGAGUCCCCAAUCCCAUGUGGUGCUGGAAGCCUCAACCCACAUGGUGGGAAAUGGCACUCAACAGACUGUCAGCCCUGCCCGGCCGGAUAUUUCUGCAGUGGGCUAGGAAAAACUGCUGCAGAGGGACUGUGCUCUGCUGGUUACUACUGCCCGCCAGGCCAGACCUCACCCACUCCUCUCUCCUAUCGCUGCCCCCGUGGCUUCUACUGCCCUGCAGGAUCUGCCAUUCCCAUGGCCUGUGAGAGGGGGACCCACCAGACACAGGAAGGGAAAGAAUCAUGUGACAUCUGCCCAGCAGGAUUCUUCUGUGAACCAGCCAGCAAAAGUUCUGGGACACAGACUCCCAGACUGUGCCCUAAAGGGUAUUUCUGUCCACCCAGUACCAGCUUUGGUACAGAACAUCCAUGUCCAAGGGGUACAUUUGGACCCAAGACUGGUGCCACUGAUGAAUCUGACUGUGAGCCCUGCCCAGCAGGCACGUAUUGCUCAUCUACAGCACUGUCCCAGCCAUCGGGGCUUUGCCACUCCGGCUAUUACUGCACCCAGGGAGCCAUCCACCCAGCCCCCAUCAGACACAAGGUGGAAUCUGCUGGCCUACCUCUGCCUGGAAAUGACAUCUGCCCUCCUGGGCAUUUCUGCCCCAGUGGCACAAGCCAUCCUAUGCCCUGCCCUCCUGGAACCUACUCCACCUCCCUGGGCCUGGGAGCAGAGGAGCAGUGCCAGCCCUGCCCAGCGGGACAGUACUGCAGCCAGGCAGGAUUGUCUGAUCUGUCCCAGACAUCGCCGUGUAGUGCAGGGUAUGUUUGUCAUGAAGGAAACUCUGCUCCCUGCCCUUCCAAUGGGAUUCAUGGUUACAAAUGCCCCAGUGGUUUCUACUGUCCUACUGGCACCAGACUGGAGAUACCCUGUGAGCCAGGCACUUUCAGCCCUAUGCCUGGAGCAAGCACCUGCCUCCCUUGCCCGGCUGGUAUGGCCUGCAGACAUGCUGCCACUGUGGAGCCAGUCAGCUGCCCCAGAGGUUACUAUUGUCCAGCUCGGACUGCAAUGCCCCUGCCAUGCCCUGAAGGUACCAUGAACACCCUGGAGGGGGCACUGUCCCCCGCUGCAUGCAAACUGUGUCCAGUGGGGAGGUACUGCAGGGGGGACGCUAACUGGGAACCAGAUGGUCUGUGUUCAGCCGGCUAUUACUGCUCAGGAGGAGCUGCCGAUGCCGUUCCGCACAGGACACCCAGGCUCCCACUCAAUGGGCCCUGUCCACCUGGACACUACUGUCCGGGGGGCACUCAGUUCCCGGUCGCCUGCCCAGUGGGCACCCUGAAUAAUGCCACAGGUGGCUCCUCCCAGGACAGCUGUGUGCCAUGCUAUCCUGGAUUCUUCUGUGCUAGCAUCGGUCUGAGCUCACCUACAGGACCCUGUGCUGCGGGUUUCUACUGCCCAGCGAACUUCAGCUCCUUCAGCCCCACUGCAUUCCUCUGCCCCAAGGGUCACUUCUGUUCCUCUGGGUCUGCCCAUCCAGCCCCCUGCCCCACCGGGGAAUACCAGCCAAACAGGGGUUCUGAGUCCUGCAUUCCUUGCCAACCAGGCUUCUACUGCCAAGAGGCAGUUGCAGGAGACCCCCAACCCUGCCCUCCACACACCUACUGUCCUGAAGGUACACUGGUUCCUUCUCCGUGUCCCGAUGGCACGUUCACCCCUCCAGAUAUGACUGGCCUCAGGGAGGAGAGAGAAUGCCUGGCCUGUUCACCCGGUCACUACUGCAGGGGCGGGCGGCUGGAGGGGAAGUGUGCUGCUGGGUACUUCUGCCAGGCCGGGAGUUCUGAGUCUACUCCCCAGGGCCAUGACUUUCCCUGGAGCUCCCUGACAGAAUGCCGCUGGGGGCAGGUGCGUGCGGGUCUCUGCCCAGCAGGUUUCUACUGCCAGGAAGGCUCCGAGGUGCCCACGCCAUGCCCCCCCAACACCAUUGGAGCUAUCCCAGGGGCAAGGCGGAGAGAAGACUGCCUGCCCUGUCCACCAGGCCACUGGUGUAAAGCAGGGGAUCCAGUGACCUAUCCGUGCCCCCCUGGACACUACUGUGGCAGCGUGAAUCUCACCGAGCCCAUCACUCUCUUGGCACCUCAGCAAUGCCCUGAGCACACUUACCGCACAGCUCCAGGGGCCCAGAGCCUGGCAGAUUGCCAGCCUUGCCCCCCAGGUUAUCUCUGCCAAACACCAGGCCUUACCAGUUUUGAAGACUACCCCUGCCCCCCCGGAUACUGGUGCCCAGGCAAAGGGGACAGGCUUUUAUGCCCUCCUGGUACCUUCAGGACCCAGCCUGGUGCAGCAUCGUUGGAAGAGUGUGGCCCCUGCUCUCCUGGCUAUUAUUGCCCGGACCCGGCAGAGACGGGGCUGCCCAAUGUCCAAGGAGCUCUUUGCCAACCCGGCUACGAGUGCCCACCAGGUUCAGUGAAUCCAACCAUAUGCAGGGGUGGCUCCUAUUGCGGGCUGCGCACAGGGGUCCCUUCCAUGUGUCCAGGUGGAUAUUAUUGUCCGGAAGGAUCAUCCAAGUACAACAUCCCCGAGCAGCUGUGUGUGUUCCCCUAUUACUGCCCCCCAGGCAGUGCCCAUCCACGGCUCUGCAAGGGAGGCUACACAGCCCUGAACGUGACCAGCCCAAGGGACUCCUUUGAGAAAUGCUGCAGGAUUUGUGAUCCGGGCACCUACCGUAGUGACUCCCUCCUCAGCCCAUCCUGCCAGCCCUGCCCAUCAGGCUUCAGCUGCCCCCAAGGCAGUGCAAGUUAUCUCCAGCAGCCCUGCCCCAGGGGGUAUUACUGCCCUCCCCUGGCACCUGCACCCAUGCCCUGCCCCCCAGGGACCCACGGCAACAGCAGCCUGGCAAAGCAGCCCGAGGAAUGUCAUGCCUGCCCUGCUGGCUCCUUCAACCACCUCUAUGCUCAGGCAGGGUGUUUCCCGUGCGGGAGCUCUUCCUCCUCACAGCCAGGGGCUAGCAGCUGUAGCUGCCAUGGGCUGAACCGGGCUUUUCAGGAGUCAGAUGGCUCUUGUAUCUGCCAAGCAGGGUACGUUUACUAUGACGAGAGAGGCAAGAAAAAUUCUGACACCAACAGUGACCAAGACUGCCAGCCUCAGGUGGAGGAGCGCUGUGCUCCCGGGGAAGUCCGUCUGGCAUCCACACGUAAAUGCAUUUCCCCCGAACUAUAUGACUGUUCUCCCUUCUGUGGUGCGCUGGGCGGAGAACUCAGUGCAGAGUUGGGCAUGUGUCACUGUGAGCAGUAUGUCUCCGCUGAAGAGCUGUGUGACCGAGAGUGCUUGCUGAACACCCCACAGAUCUCUCUGAGCCUUGGCAUCCAUUCAGAGCUCCUCCUGAGUGUUGAGGAAGGAGAGGACAGAGAGGUGACAAACAUUCUGGGCCCAGAUGAACACGUGCAGAAGAGCCAGCAGGUGCAUUUGGUUCUGUUUGGCUCCACUGGGGUAUUUGGUUUCAUUAUUUCCAGCACAGACAUGCUGGAUACAUUCCUCACAGGAGAUUUUUGGUUGGAUCUGCCAUUGCAGAGAGUUCGGCGUGGCGAGCAGACUGCCUCCUCCAAGGACACCCAUCCCUUACCCUGCAUCCCCAACCCUAUUGUGUGUUUGAAU
rnacentral:lncRNA from 1 species